ensembl:lincRNA
GACAUAAACUAUUUUAGACGCAAUCAAGGAAGAAUCGCCCAUCAUGUGGAAUUGAGCGGCAGUUUUAAAUGUACUAAGAGAAGACUGGUCUCGGAAAAAAAAAAAACAUUUUUUUCCCCUUCUUUUUUUGGAGACGCCUAAAGGAGCCUGUUUGUGUGCUGUGUGGCCACGUUCUGCUGUGACUGGAUCUUGUCUUCUGCCUGGCUCCUCGAUUUCCGUCCGGCUGGAUUUGGGGACAACACUGCCUGGCGCAGACAGAUCAAAUGACACUUCAAAGAAGCAUAAAAUGAACAGACUAUUCAAACAAAGGUAAUUUACAUUUUUUUAUUUGAUAAAACCUGACUGAUGUACAAAACGAAAAUAGAAUAUUGUUUACUGGAAAACAGGUCUACAAUCUCUCACACAUCUUCUCUUGCAACAGAUAGAAUUCCAGAAACAUCUAAGUUCCUCUGUGUACAGUUAUUUCUCCUGUAGGAGCCUUUGUAUGGAUGUAAUACACACAUAUAUGUAUAUGCAUAGAGCAUGACAUAAAUAAAACCUGCAAUAGCCUAUAAGAAAGAAGCUCCUAUUUAGAGGAAAGGGUAAGAUACUUUUAUUAUAAUGAAAGCCAGUUCACUUCAUCACUUGGACCAUGGACACUAAUGUAAAUAAAAUGGCUUAAAAAAUAAGACAAUAGUAGUAUUGACUGUAGACUACAAUUUGCACAUUUGUAAUUCUUAUAAAUGAAAUAUUUAAAAUGAUUUGGUGUUGGGCCAGUUCCUUAUGCAUUCUGCAUUCAUGUGUAUAGGAUUCAAAGACGUUCCAAAUAUUGAUCAUAAACCAAGUGUAUAUGAAUUAAUUAAAUAGCAUAUUUCUGGCCCAAAUAUGAGGAAAACCAUAACUUUUUACUGUAAAUCAGGAGAGAUUGUUUUAUCCCCAAAUAAACUAGGAUGUUUCAAGUCAUGUUUCAGCAAUUUGGAGACCUACAAACUAUCUGCAAGCAAGCACAACAACCAUACUCUAAUCUACUAGAUACUAGUGAGAAUUUAGUGCUUGAAUUCAGGCUGCUUGAAUUCAGUAUAUCCUUCUCUAUGCUGAUUUUCAAGUAGAUAUUCUGUAGCUCAGCUAGAUAAUCUUUUAAAAGC